rnacentral:rRNA from 1 species
AUUGAACGCUGGCGGCAGGCCUAACACAUGCAAGUCGAGCGGUAGCACAGAGAGCUUGCUCUCGGGUGACGAGCGGCGGACGGGUGAGUAAUGUCUGGGAAACUGCCUGAUGGAGGGGGAUAACUACUGGAAACGGUAGCUAAUACCGCAUAAUGUCGCAAGACCAAAGUGGGGGACCUUCGGGCCUCAUGCCAUCAGAUGUGCCCAGAUGGGAUUAGCUAGUAGGUGGGGUAACGGCUCACCUAGGCGACGAUCCCUAGCUGGUCUGAGAGGAUGACCAGCCACACUGGAACUGAGACACGGUCCAGACUCCUACGGGAGGCAGCGGUGGGGAAUAUUGCACAAUGGGCGCAAGCCUGAUGCAGCCAUGCCGCGUGUGUGAAGAAGGCCUUCGGGUUGUAAAGCACUUUCAGCGGGGAGGAAGGCGUUAAGGUUAAUAACCUUGGCGAUUGACGUUACCCGCAGAAGAAGCACCGGCUAACUCCGUGCCAGCAGCCGCAGUAAUACGGAGGGUGCAAGCGUUAAUCGGAAUUACUGGGCGUAAAGCGCACGCAGGCGGUCUGUCAAGUCGGAUGUGAAAUCCCCGGGCUCAACCUGGGAACUGCAUUCGAAACUGGCAGGCUAGAGUCUUGUAGAGGGGGGUAGAAUUCCAGGUGUAGCGGUGAAAUGCGUAGAGAUCUGGAGGAAUACCGGUGGCGAAGGCGGCCCCCUGGACAAAGACUGACGCUCAGGUGCGAAAGCGUGGGGAGCAAACAGGAUUAGAUACCCUGGUAGUCCACGCCGUAAACGAUGUCGAUUUGGAGGUUGUGCCCUUGAGGCGUGGCUUCCGGAGCUAACGCGUUAAAUCGACCGCCUGGGGAGUACGGCCGCAAGGUUAAAACUCAAAUGAAUUGACGGGGGCCCGCACAAGCGGUGGAGCAUGUGGUUUAAUUCGAUGCAACGCGAAGAACCUUACCUGGUCUUGACAUCCACAGAACUUAGCAGAGAUGCUUUGGUGCCUUCGGGAACUGUGAGACAGGUGCUGCAUGGCUGUCGUCAGCUCGUGUUGUGAAAUGUUGGGUUAAGUCCCGCAACGAGCGCAACCCUUAUCCUUUGUUGCCAGCGGUUAGGCCGGGAACUCAAAGGAGACUGCCAGUGAUAAACUGGAGGAAGGUGGGGAUGACGUCAAGUCAUCAUGGCCCUUACGACCAGGGCUACACACGUGCUACAAUGGCAUAUACAAAGAGAAGCGACCUCGCGAGAGCAAGCGGACCUCAUAAAGUAUGUCGUAGUCCGGAUUGGAGUCUGCAACUCGACUCCAUGAAGUCGGAAUCGCUAGUAAUCGUAGAUCAGAAUGCUACGGUGAAUACGUUCCCGGGCCUUGUACACACCGCCCGUCACACCAUGGGAGUGGGUUGCAAAAGAAGUAGGUAGCUUAACCUUCGGGAGGGCGCUUACCACUUUGUGAUUCAUGA